GCUUGCUUAGCAGCGUGCUUGUACAGCGAUUUUUGCCCGUUAUGUUCUUAGCGUGAUGUGUGACAUAGGCGUUGGUUUUAUAAUCUAAAGGAUUUGUCUUCAAGUUACGACAGUGCGACAGUACAAUGAGCGCCAGCGGCCGGCGGGUGGGUGUUAUAGGAUUGCAGCUUGACUACAACUGUGGAGACCGCUUUAUAUCAAACCUUAAGCUGCUGGGGCUCAAAGGAAAAUAUCGAUCCAUUAUGUGCUAUUAAGAACAUCUCAAAUACUUUGUUGAAUGAUUCAAGAUGUCCACAAGGCAGUCAAGCAAGGGACCAAUCAACCAUGAAUUCUUUGGAUCUGCCGUUGCUGGGAGCAGCAAUCCUACAAAGGGGCACCGGUUACAUACAAGCUAACCUCUGUCCGAAC